rnacentral:rRNA from 1 species
GAUGAACGCUGGCGGCGUGCCUAAUACAUGCAAGUCGAGCGAACAGACGAGGAGCUUGCUCCUCUGACGUUAGCGGCGGACGGGUGAGUAGCACGUGGAUAACCUACCUAUAAGACUGGGAUAACUUCGGGAAACCGGAGCUAAUACCGGAUAAUAUAUUGAACCACAUGGUUCAAUAGUGAAAGACGGUUUUGCUGUCACUUAUAGAUGGAUCCGCGCCGCAUUAGCUAGUUGGUAAGGUAACGGCUUACCAAGGCAACGAUGCGUAGCCGACCUGAGAGGGUGAUCGGCCACACUGGAACUGAGACACGGUCCAGACUCCUACGGGAGGCAGCAGUAGGGAAUCUUCCGCAAUGGGCGAAAGCCUGACGGAGCAACGCCGCGUGAGUGAUGAAGGUCUUCGGAUCGUAAAACUCUGUUAUUAGGGAAGAACAAAUGUGUAAGUAACUAUGCACGUCUUGACGGUACCUAAUCAGAAAGCCACGGCUAACUACGUG